AGCGCACAUAGAACGGCGCCAUGCAGCACGCUCGGACCAGCGGGUAGACCCGACCAUGUCCUGAAGGAUCCUGCGAGUUCGCCCGACUGUGCGCUCGGACGCGCGCGCAUCGUCACGUUGCGGUGGCGGACGAGGCGACGCCGGCGGAGGGGCUGCGAUGAGCGUGUUGGGCCGCCCGUAUUUUUCCGUGUCGUUCGGCGUAGCGUGGCGGACGGCGGACGCGUUCCAAACUUAUCUGUAGCGGGGGGGGGGGGGGCGCGUGUGAAGGAUUGGAAUUAAAGGCGCAGUGCACGCAAAAGAAGAAAAAAAAAAACGAAAAAAAAAUCUCUCCAACGCCGACAUGGAGAGGCAACGCGCACUUGACCUGGACCGGGACCGACAGUAUUGUGAACUUUGCGGGAAAAUGGAAAACCUGCUCAAGUGCGGCAGAUGCCGCAGUUCCUUCUACUGCAGCAAGGAGCACCAGAAGCAGCACUGGAAGAAGCACAAGCUCAUCUGCAAAGAGGCGGACAAGGCGCAGCUCUCCAAACACAGGACGGGUCACACGCAGCCGUGCGGCGACGCCGGCGGACGGGAGCGCGCCCAGGAGAAGAACCGCGCCGAGCGAGCCGACAGCGCGGCUCGGAGCGGCGGCGACGACGACGACGACGACGACGACGACGACGCCGCCGUGGUGAAGGGCUUCAUCACCUACCCCGAGGAGCCGGCGCUCGACGACAAACAGGAAGGGGACGUGUCGAACAACGCCAAACCCAACGGACAGACGAGGAUCUCCCCGCAGAAGCUCGCCACGGAGUACAUAGUGCCGAGCAUGAACAAGCAUGGCAUCUGCGUGGUGGACAACUUCCUCGGCACGGAGACGGGCAUGUGCGUGCUGGAGGACGUCGCGGCCCUGCACAAGACGGGCAAGUUCACGGACGGCCAGCUGGUCAGUCAGAAAAGCGACUCCACUAAAGACAUCCGAGGGGACCAAAUCGCGUGGAUAGAGGGGCGGGAGCCCGGCUGUGAGAAGAUCCUCUUUCUCAUGAGCCGCAUGGACGACCUGGUCAGACACUGUAACGGUAAACUGGGAAACUACACAAUAAAUGGAAGGACAAAAGCAAUGGUGGCGUGUUACCCGGGCAAUGGGACUGGAUAUGUACGACACGUGGACAACCCCAAUGGCGACGGACGAUGCGUCACGUGCAUAUAUUAUCUUAAUAGAGAUUGGGAUGCUAAGGAACACGGAGGGCUUCUUCGGAUCUUCCCCGAGGGAAAGGCCCAGUUCGCCGACAUCGAGCCCAAGUUCGACAGGUUGCUCCUGUUCUGGUCGGACCGACGAAACCCGCACGAGGUCCAGCCCGCCUACGCCACCCGGUAUGCCAUCACAGUGUGGUAUUUUGACGCAGACGAGCGAGCGAGGGCUAAAGAGAAGUACUUAACAGGUGCUGGAGAAAAAGGUGUGAAGGUGGAGCUCAACAAACCGUCGGACCCCAGCUAGUGGGAAGCCCUGGUCCCCUACAAUCAGCUUUCAAGUGCUCUGUCCUGAAAAAGUGGCCUAUAAUAGAGAGCGUGUGUGUGCGUGUGUGUGUGUGCGUGCGCGCGUGUGUGCGUGUGUUCAUAGCCGGGUGGAAGACUUCUGCAAGAAUGGGUGGAAAAAAAUCCAUGUUUAUGGAAACGAGGAAAGGUUCGGCGAUCCUCUUCCUGACUUUUCCUCGAACCUGGGCGACCCAGCUGACCUUGAAUGUGAUGACGUCGUGCUGCAAGGGAUUGCGCUUUCGUUACUCUCGCCUUUCUGGUGAAGAACACUUACAUUAAAGGGGGACAUUUUUAGAAAAUGACUCCAGGCAGGAACCAAGCAUCCGAGAGACUUCAUUUCUGGUUUUUGCAGUUAAUUCCUCUCAAAGCAAGAGGUUGAACCGAGCUGAAUAUGGAGCUGCCAGGGAAGAGGAAGGCCAAAGAGGAGGUCAAUGGAUGUGGUGAGAGAGGACACGCAGGUGACUUGUGUGUCAGAGGACGAUGCAGAGGACAGGAAGAAAUGGAAACGGAUGAUCCGCUGUGGCGACCCCUAACGGGAGCAGCCGAAAGUAGUAGGGUGAACCGAGCUAGCGUUAAAGGGCAAAUUCACCAAUUUUCUCUAGCUGUACUGGACAGCACGUGAAAAACACCUGCAGUUGUUCUCUAUGGUUUCUGUAUCUCUGGAGAGGCAGUGAAACUGAGGUUUUCUGGCGUCUCAUCCCAAGGACGGCAUCUCCUACAGCAGUGGUUCUCAACCUUUUUGGGGUCCUGGACCCCCUGCGUGUUUUUGAUCUACCCUGAGGACCCCUCCACCUGAUCUUGGGGGAGGGGGGGUUGCAAUUUGAUAGAAACAGUAGAAACUGCAUUUUAAAUUGCAUUAUAGCAUUUAUUCACUCUUUGGGGCAAAAAUAAGAGCUUUCAGUUGUAACUUAGAUAUAGUUAACAAAACAGAAUUCUUAUGCAGUAACUUUCAGAUAUAUGUAACAGAACAGAAUAUGUAUUCAGUAACUUU